rnacentral:rRNA from 1 species
AGGACGAACGCUGGCGGUGUGCUUCACACAUGCAAGUCGAACGAGGUAGCAAUACCUAGUGGCGGACGGGUGAGUAACGCGUGGGAAUCUGCCUUUGGAUGGGGGAUAACGGUUCGAAAGGAGUCGCUAAUACCGCAUAUGACGAAAGUUGAAAGGAGUAAUCCGUCUAAAGAUGAGCCCGCGUCCGAUUAGCUAGUUGGUAAGGUAAGAGCUUACCAAGGCGACGAUCGGUAGCUGGUCUGAGAGGAUGAUCAGCCACAAUGGGACUGAGACACGGCCCAUACUCCUACGGGAGGCAGCAGUGGGAAUUUACGCAAUGGGCGAAAGCCUGACGUAGCGACACCGCGUGAACGAAGAAGCCUCUUGGGUGUAAAGUUCUGUCAGCUGGAACGAAAAAAUGACGGUACCAGCAGAGGAAGCAUCGGACUAACUACGUGCCAGCAGCCGC